UACGAAGGGGGCUAGCGUUGUUCGGAUUUACUGGGCGUAAAGCGCACGUAGGCGGUUUGUUAAGUCAGAGGUGAAAUCCCGGAGCUCAACUCCGGAACUGCCUUUGAUACUGGCAAGCUAGAGUCCGGAAGAGGUGAGUGGAACUCCUAGUGUAGAGGUGGAAUUCGUAGAUAUUAGGAAGAACACCAGUGGCGAAGGCGGCUCACUGGUCCGGUACUGACGCUGAGGUGCGAAAGCGUGGGGAGCAAACAGG
rnacentral:rRNA from 3 species